rnacentral:lncRNA from 1 species
GACAGAGACAACAGAAACGGAAGGGCAAAUGCCGCUGUCACUAGCCAUUUGGGUUUUCCUGGGAUUUGGGCCAUCUGGGUUCUGUCAAGAACUGAAGAUUUCCCAUCUCACCGGAGUCCAAGGAUAGGAUGGAAGAGUUCACCAUAAUGCUCAGGUUUCCCCAGAACACUCUACUCUUCUAUCAAAACCCAGAAAGACGCCAGACGUGAGUGUUGCACUGACACACCACCCGCAAUGCCUUCUCAAGCCUUUGUGGAAGCCGCCCGCAUGAGAAGGAACAGAAUCCCACGCUCUCAUUGCAGUAGGAACCAGACCUCUCUGAAGGCUUAUCCUCCCUCCGAUAUGAAGACCAAGGAACUGGGAUGUUGCCCUUGGAGUGAUCUGCUGCCUGCUUAAACAUUCUGCAUCUGCUGUGAAUGAGAGACUUUUUCAGGACUGUUGGUUAGGAGGCAAAAAGUUCAAAUUGUCUUGCAGAAAUGUGAGCCUUUCAAAUGUUCAGCUCCUUCCUUCUCACUGAAUGAAGUUCAACCUUUAUUAAACAGUGUGACCACGGCAGGGAGCCCUGGAAGGUGAGGAGCGGGGGCUGGGAAAACUGGG